UGCCAGUGUGUGUAUGUGUGUGUGUGUAUAUCUGACACAAAUACACACACACACACACACACACACUGGCACA